AAUUUGCCCCAGUUUUCCACUGUCUGACCUCCCGAAAUGAUAAACUCGCUUCUUCGCAUACUCAAAGAUCUUGUAACUGGACUCUGCAAAUAUCCAAACGGACCGGAAACUCUCUGAUGCUCUAAGUGAGUCUAGGUACUUCAAGUAAUUUACAGCAUCAUACCUACUCAUAUAAGAAAUAGAUAAGUACUACUAUAAAAACAAGAACCAUGAGUCUAGGUACUUCAAGUAAUUUAUAGCAUCAUACCUACUCAUAUAAGAAAUAGAUAAGUACUACUAUAAAAACAAGAACCAUAAGCCAAGAGAAACUGAAACAGAUCUCACACAUAGUACCAGUGCCAAUAAAC
rnacentral:lncRNA from 1 species